CCCGGGAAGUGGAAGCUGACUUUUCUGAAGGCAGAGGGGCUUGGGAACACAGCACUGCUCCCUAAUCUCCCUCACAACCAUGUCUUUGUAAUGAGUAAUCAGGAACAUCGCACUCAGCCAACUGAUUUAGAGUACAAGAAACUACUUUGGUACAGAGUCCUGUCAUCAUUAUCUUAUCAGUUUAUGGGAAAAGCGAAAAACUGGCACAUAAAGCAACCUACUGAAAAUAUUUAAAGCCUCUUAUAAAAGAGGCUGAAGGGAGCACUCUAGUGCCAUUUUUGCCCUUCUGUGCCUUCUGCCAUGUGAAGAUGAAGUGUUCAAGCUGACACCUUAGAAGCAGGGAGGGGGGGCCUCACCAGAUGCCAACCCUGACAGAGCCUUCAUCUUGGACUUUCCAGCAUCCAGAACUGUGAAAAAUAAAUGUCUAUUAUUUAU
rnacentral:lncRNA from 10 species